UUUAGUAUAGCAAACUAGUAAAAUUAGAUGGAGGGAGUCUCUCCCACUAAAAGAAGUAUCAAAUGUCGAUCAAAACUUAAGCAUAUGAAGAGAAUAUUUUAUUUGUUUGAAUAUAUUCGAGACAAAUAGAAGGAGAGCCUUGGAGUAAUGAAAAAUAAUCUUCGAGUGACCUAUAGAUUACGGGUUCGAGCCGUAGAAGCAGCCGUUUAUCUGCAUUAUACUCCUUGAGGUGCGACCUUUUACUGGACCUUGCAUGAAUGUGGAAUGCUUUAUGCAUCGGACGGAAAAGAAAAGAACGACAAAGAAAACUCUUAUGAUACAUUGAUCGGAUUAUUAGCAUAUAUUGUAUUAUGAUACAUUUCAUUGAAGAAUAUCAUCCAUAAACAGAACAUUAAAACAGAACAAAGCCAGAGGACUAAAUUUUAUUUCCUUCUUUGAGACAAAUCUACACUAUAACGGUCAGCGCCACUUCAUAUUCCAACAAUGACAGAGUAUAAAUUUUUAAUGUGCAAAUUGCAUGAUAAAUGCCAAUUAUUAUAUUUCGAAUCUGAUACCUGCAGCAAAUAUAUGGCCAAUAAUUUAUUCCCUCUUCUAAUUUUGUUUUUGUUGAAAUUAUACAAAAGCAUGUGAGGAGACGCCAAAUGAGGAAUUUUAAAUGCAUAUUAUUCUAAUUAUUGACAAUUAUAACAAUAUAAAAAAAGGCAAAUAAAUAAAGUGCGCAAUUACCAAAACCUCUAAGCUGCCACAUGACGGUAUCAAUGCUUUCACUGUUUCAACCACAUGAACAUGACUCGUAAAUCCAUGUUUUUUGAAAUUACAAAUCUUGUUGCUAAGAUAAUGGACUGUUGAAUUCAUACACAUUAAUAAUAUAGUAGAUAUAUUAAGAAUUACUUGUCUACUAUUAUCCAAGAGAGGUUGGAAUUGUAAAAUAAGUGAUUUUCAUUAACAAAAAAAAAACAAAAAAUAUUUUCGAUGUUUUGGUUAUUGACUUAGGGAGUAAAAAUAUAUCUUCUGAAAAAUAAAGAUUGAUAAUAUUGUUAGCAAAUUGAAUGGUAUUUUGUUAAAAUAUCAGUAUUAAAGAUUGAUAAUAAUGUAUAAGUAUUGGUUGUAAACGAAAUGCCUUCUACCCAUAUAUGAGAAGUUAAUUCGUUCCUUUUAAUGAAAAAUAUUUUUCUGAAAAUAUAUUUUUUGGCAUUCAAAUAUCAGAAACUGACUUAUAUUCUAAAAAAAUUCUGGUCAUUCUAACUACCCUUAACCUUAUUAUGUUAACUAGUAAAUUUACCCGCGCGAGAAUUUAAGUUUUAGCUAAUUAAGAAACUUAACGAAAUAUCAAUAAGAAUUUAAAAGGCUCAAACUAAAAUUAAAUUUAGAUAAAUUUCAUCUUAAGACUACUAAUUAUGAAAGUAAAAAUAGUUAAAUUAUAAUUAUUCAUAUAUUAAAAGAUGAAAAUAUAUAAAUGAAAUACAAAUUUUUAUAUUAGCAGAACCGUUGCCUCUUACCUUGUCAAUAUUUUAAUACCUUCCUUGUUUUUGGAAAGUAUAUUCUACAUACCUUGUAUUAAAAUAAAUAAUAAAUAUCUAAAAGUAGAUUGUAUGAAUUUAAUUAUUUCAAAUUAAUACUUACGAUGUAACCUAGACGUAAAUCUAGAACACAAUGAAGCUUAUCUUGACAAAACAACCCUUUUUGGUUGCAAGGGGUUAUCAUAUAAAACAAAUAAUAAUCCUUCAGNNNNNNNNNNNNNNNNNNNNNNNNNUAUAUAUAUAUAUAUAUAUAUAUAACAUUUAAAGUAUCAAUAAACAUUGGAAAGUACGCAUAUGGAAUAACUACAUAAAUAUAUACAAGUUUUCUAUGUAGAAAUAAUAUACUCAUACGUACCUAUAACUUCAAGUAUAAAUAUUUUCAAACCAAAAAUCAAUAAAAAUUGCACCUAUAUUUUUUGUUAUACACAGGUUAAAGGAUUAAAAUAAAAAGAGAUAGUCCCAACAGCACAACAACAAAAUGCAAAAAAUUAUUCAUGUACUCGAAAAAAGAGUAUUUAACUGGUGAUGCUUUUUGGAGAUACUUCCUACUACCAAUUUUUCAUCAACUUUCUUCUUCUUUUUAAUGUAAACUUAUGUGUAUGUCUUUUAUCCGUAUGUUUUAUUCAUCACAUAAAUAUAAAGAACUUAACCUAAGUUUGAAUGAUUUAAUAGCAUUUGAAUAGAGUCUCUAUUUACUUAUGAUUAGAGGAAAAAUAACCCAUUUAUGGAAUUUUUAAAAUCCAAGAAACAUUACAAAUGAGUUUAUUAUACUAUUGUUCUCUGCACCACGUCAAAUCCAGAAAAUACAAUUUCUUCAUUUUAUUACAUAAAAAAACGACCAAUUUAAAUCAAUAUGAGAUGACCAAACACAAAAAGGGAAAAGGAAAAGUAAAUACACCGAGAGUCUUGUGUUAAGUUUAUCCCUUCAUGACUUGCUUCAUUACUAUCAAUCAUUCUCAUUGCGACGCAUCUUUUUAUCUUGUGCUUCAUCUUCAUAAAUAAAUUAAAGAAAAAAGUCAACUUUCACUAUUUUUAAUUAAAACUUAUAGUAAGCAGAACAUGUGAAAAAGAAAGAAAGCAAGAAAACCUUGAAGUUUAGAAAUUGGCAAUAAGAGCUUUGCCUUUAAUUUAUUCAUUUUGUACUUCCUCUGCAUCACACGAAACUAACCAGAGUAGUCAAUUUUCAUUAUUCUAAUUAAAAAUUAAAAAAUUAGUAUAAAGCCGAAUAUAUAUAAGAAAGAAAGCAGACCUUGAAGUUGCAAAAGUUUCAAAGAAACGCCUUCCAUUGAGAGAAGAAAGCAAUACAGUUUCGUUGAAUGUUAGGUGCGUUUAAAUAGGAACAAAGAAUGAUUAGAUAUCAGAACUGAUUGACUUUUGAAAUCUAGUGUUAAUGACCUUGUUAAAUACGGGAAGGGAAAAAGGACGUUUCGAAUAUUUGAAGAGCAGCCUUUGGUGAUGACUCUAUUCCAAAACGCAUGGAUAAAGUUGUAAUCUAAAGAAUAUGUAAGAUCAUAUCUUUUAGAGAAAAAGAAAUUAAUAACUACGGGAAAAAGUGAGAAAAAAUGCCAAAUAAAUGAGAGAAACGAUAAAUAGUAAUCCUAAUGCCAAAUAAAUGAGAGAAAAGAUAAAUAGUAAUCCUAGCUUAAGAGAGAUGUCAUGUCAACUUUCUUUUUCCCGCCUUUAUAUAUACUAUAUAGAUUGUUAGCAAUGCUUAUUGCCCUAUAGUUC
rnacentral:lncRNA from 1 species